UGGGGAAUAUUGGACAAUGGGCGCAAGCCUGAUCCAGCCAUGCCGCGUGUGUGAAGAAGGCCUUCGGGUUGUAAAGCACUUUUGUUGGGGAAGAAAAGCAAUUGGUUAAUACCCGGUUGUCAUGACGGUACCCAAAGAAUAAGCACCGGCUAACUUCGUGCCAGCAGCCGCGGUAAUACGAAGGGUGCAAGCGUUACUCGGAAUUACUGGGCGUAAAGCGUGCGUAGGUGGUUUGUUAAGUCUGAUGUGAAAGCCCUGGGCUCAACCUGGGAACUGCAUUGGAUACUGGCAGACUGGAGUGCGGUAGAGGGUAGCGGAAUUCCCGGUGUAGCAGUGAAAUGCGUAGAUAUCGGGAGGAACAUCUGUGGCGAAGGCGGCUACCUGGACCAGCACUGACACU
rnacentral:rRNA from 1 species